GAUGAACGCUGGCGGCGUGCCUAAUACAUGCAAGUCGAGCGAACAGAUGAGGAGCUUGCUCCUCUGACGUUAGCGGCGGACGGGUGAGUAACACGUGGAUAACCUACCUAUAAGACUGGGAUAACUUCGGGAAACCGGAGCUACUACCGGAUCAUAUAUUGAACCGCAUGGUUCAAUAGUGAAAGACGGUUUUGCUGUCACUUAUAGAUGGAUCCGCGCCGCAUUAGCUAGUUGGUAAGGUAACGGCUUACCAAGGCAACGAUGCGUAGCCGACCUGAGAGGGUGAUCGGCCACACUGGAACUGAGACACGGUCCAGACUCCUACGGGAGGCAGCAGUAGGGAAUCUUCCGCAAAGGGCGAAAGCCUGACGGAGCAACGCCGCGUGAGUGAUGAAGGUCUUCGGAUCGUAAAACUCUGUUAUUAGGGAAGAACAAAUGUGUAAGUAAAUAUGCACGUCUUGACGGUACCUAAUCAGAAAGCCACGGCUAACUACGUG
rnacentral:rRNA from 1 species